rnacentral:pre_miRNA from 1 species
UCAGCCAGUGACACCCAAAAUUGAAGCACUUUCCAGUCCAGACAAAGGGAAGUGCUUCCAUUUUGAGUAUCCCUGUCUGA